CCUACGGGUGGCUGCAGUGGGGAAUAUUGCACAAUGGGCGCAAGCCUGAUGCAGCCAUGCCGCGUGUGUGAAGAAGGCCUUCGGGUUGUAAAGCACUUUCAGCGGGGAGGAAGGCGUUAAGGUUAAUAACCUUGGCGAUUGACGUUACCCGCAGAAGAAGCACCGGCUAACUCCGUGCCAGCAGCCGCGGUAAUACGGAGGGUGCAAGCGUUAAUCGGAAUUACUGGGCGUAAAGCGCACGCAGGCGGUCUGUCAAGUCGGAUGUGAAAUCCCCGGGCUCAACCUGGGAACUGCAUUCGAAACUGGCAGGCUAGAGUCUGGUAGAGGGGGGUAGAAUUCCAGGUGUAGCGGUGAAAUGCGUAGAGAUCUGGAGGAAUACCGGUGGCGAAGGCGGCCCCCUGGACAAAGACUGACGCUCAGGUGCGAAAGCGUGGGGAGCAAACAGGAUUAGAUACCCGAGUAGUC
rnacentral:rRNA from 1 species